CCUACGGGUGGCAGCAGUGAGGAAUAUUGGUCAAUGGACGAGAGUCUGAACCAGCCAAGUCGCGUGAAGGAUGACUGCCCUAUGGGUUGUAAACUUCUUUUAUAUGGGAAUAAAACGUUCCACGUGUGGGAUUUUGUCUGUACCAUAUGAAUAAGGAUCGGCUAACUCCGUGCCAGCAGCCGCGGUAAUACGGAGGAUCCGAGCGUUAUCCGGAUUUAUUGGGUUUAAAGGGAGCGUAGGUGGGUUCUUAAGUCAGUUGUGAAAGUUUGCGGCUCAACCGUAAAAUUGCAGUUGAAACUGGCAGUCUUGAGUACAGUAGAGGUGGGCGGAAUGCGUGGUGUAGCGGUGAAAUGCUUAGAUAUCACGAAGAACUCCGAUUGCGAAGGCAGUUCACUGGACGGCAACUGACACUGAGGCUCGAAAGUGUGGGUAUCAAACAGGAUUAGAUACCCCAGUAGUC
rnacentral:rRNA from 1 species